UCAGUCUCUCUCUUUCUUCUCUGGCCUCUCGCCCUCUCUUUCUUCUCUUCGUCAAUCUUCUCAGUUUUCUCUUCGUCAUUGAGAAUUCGAGAUCGUCAAGGAGACUGCCAAGGACUGGAAGGGUCGUCAGUCCUCUCAGUUUUCUCGUCGUCUCUGGUCUCCGCCGCCGCUCCGGUCAUCUAGGCCCUCAAAGAGCUAGAUCAUGACCGCAAGGCCACUUCUACAGAUCCAGAGCCUCUCUCUCAAGUACUCUCUAUCUCUAUAUCUGUAUAUCUAUAGAUCUUUUUACCUCUGUUUGAUUCUAAUUGAUAUUAAUAGUUUUGUAAUUCGUAAAAAUUGAGAUGAAGGUGUUCGUUGCAGAUCCAGCUUUACUGCUGAAGACAUCAAGCAGCUCCGGGAAUCUGGGGUUGUAAAGGUGCAGUCAAGAAAGAAAGCAGAGAUCUUUUUAGUACGAACAGAUGGAUUCUCUUGUACCCGAGAAAAAAAGAUAAUGACCAAGUCCAAGAAUUUCCUCAACAAUCUCAUCAAAACCUUCGGGUUCAGCUAAAGCAAAGGUAAAAAGCCAAACCUAGAUUCCAGUUUCUUCAAUUUCAACUUCAAGAUAUGAUCUUUUAAGAUUUUGCUCUGUUUUGUUUUUUUUGAUUGAUCAUAUGGCAAUAACGAAGAGGACUUAGAGAGAAUUGCUCAACAGGAAUAGGUUCUCCAGUUUACAAGGAGCUUUGGCAGAGAUUACAAGCAUCAGUUUUGAGACAGAAGAGGGAUGCUCUUUUUUGUUUUUGUUUUUGAUGUCUUUUGCUUGUGUGGGUGGUUAUUGGUUAAUGGGUUGCUCUUUUAUUUUAUUUGUUAUAUGGAAAAGGCUCCAAUGGCCUUGAUUCCUAAUUUCCUAGUUUCCGGAGUAAUUUUUGUAAGUAGAUGGACUUGAUUCUCUCGAGUCUACACCAAUGUGUUUGAUGCAUA